CGAUACAUUGAUUUCAUUAAUAGAUUAAACAAUUAACAUCAAGUAAAUAGUUUUAGGGAUGAAACAGUAAUUUUGCAUUAUUAAAAAUACAAAAUUAUGGAAGUACCCCAGUUUUUUUCUCCUCUCCCUCAUCCUCUACUUAUGCCUUCUCCUUCGAUUUUGGUUUUCGAAGCUUCUUCCGUUACCUACCCUCGCCAGUGACGUUGAAACUAUCAAGACCCGCUGACCAACUCCUCACCCCUCGGCAAGCACAAACCAACAACUUGUGAUUUGGUGACCAAACGCAAGAGAUCCCUUUCGCGACCUGUAUGGAGAGGACAUAGACGCAAGAGCAUCAAGCAAAAUAAGAUUCUUAGCUUGCCAAGCUAAGGGUAGAAGAACUAGAACAAGGGAUUGUUGGUGAGGCAAGCAUCGUAGCAAAGGCACAGGUUGAGGUUACUGAAGCGAGGCAAGCAGCUGCAAUUUUAAAACUCAAAUCUAUUAAUGCAGAAUUGGAAAAAUUAAAAAAUCUUCGGAUACUUCACCAUCUAUUGGAAUGGGGACGCUGGCCGAAAAAUAUAGAGAUGGUCCGAAGAGAGUCUAAAACAAGAACAGGGAGGGAGAAUAAGUUCUGUCCAAGAAAAUCAAGAGCGAGUUGGAUCACAUACCUGGACGAGAAAGGAA
rnacentral:misc_RNA from 1 species